UACGUAGGGUGCAAGCGUUAAUCGGAAUUACUGGGCGUAAAGCGUGCGCAGGCGGCUAUGCAAGACAGAUGUGAAAUCCCCGGGCUCAACCUGGGAAUGGCAUUUGAGACUGCAUAGCUAGGGUGCGGAAGAGGGAAGCGGAAUUUCCGGUGUAGCGGUGAAAUGCGUAGAUAUCGGAAGGAACAUCAGUGGCGAAAGCGGCUUCCUGGUCCAGCACCGACGUUCAGGCACGAAAGCGUGGGGAGCAAACAGG
rnacentral:rRNA from 1 species